rnacentral:rRNA from 1 species
UAGGGAAUAUUACACAAUGGGCGCAAGCCUGAUGCAGCUAUGCCGCGUGGAGGAUGAAGGCCUUCGGGUCGUAAACUCCUUUUCUGAGGAAAGAAUAGCCGAGAGAGGAAAUGCCCUUGGUUUGACGGUACCUCAGGAAUAAGCAACGGCUAACUCCGUGCCAGCCGCCGCGGUAAUACGGAGGUUGCGAGCGUUGUUCGGAAUUACUGGGCGUAAAGGGGGGGCAGGCGGUCCGGUCAGUCUAAAGUGAAAUCCCGGGGCUUAACCUUGGAAGUGCUUUGGAUACUGCCGGACUUGAGUACGUGAGAGGAGAGCGGAAUUCCAGGUGUAGCGGUGAAAUGCGUAGAUAGCUGGAGGAACACCUGUGGCGAAAGCGGCUCUCUGGCACGAAACUGACGCUGAGGCUCGAAAGCGUGGGGAGCAAACG